UAGGGAAUCUUCCGCAAUGGACGAAAGUCUGACGGAGCAACGCCGCGUGAGUGAAGAAGGCCUUCGGGUCGUAAAGCUCUGUUGUUAGGGAAGAACAAGUACGAGAGUAACUGCUCGUACCUUGACGGUACCUAACCAGAAAGCCACGGCUAACUACGUGCCAGCAGCCGCGGUAAUACGUAGGUGGCAAGCGUUGUCCGGAAUUAUUGGGCGUAAAGCGCGCGCAGGCGGUCCUUUAAGUCUGAUGUGAAAGCCCACGGCUCAACCGUGGAGGGUCAUUGGAAACUGGGGGACUUGAGUGCAGAAGAGGAGAGUGGAAUUCCACGUGUAGCGGUGAAAUGCGUAGAGAUGUGGAGGAACACCAGUGGCGAAGGCGACUCUCUGGUCUGUAACUGACGCUGAGGCGCGAAAGCGUGGGGAGCAAACAGGAUUAGAUACCCUGGUAGUCCACGCCGUAAACGAUGAGUGCUAAGUGUUAGAGGGUUUCCG
rnacentral:rRNA from 1 species